rnacentral:rRNA from 8 species
AACUUAAUAAUUACAACUUUCAACAACGGAUCUCUUGGUUCUGGCAUCGAUGAAGAACGCAGCGAAAUGCGAUAAGUAGUGUGAAUUGCAGAAUUCAGUGAAUCAUCGAAUCUUUGAACGCACAUUGCGCCCCUUGGUAUUCCAUGGGGCAUGCCUGUUCGAGCGUCAUU